rnacentral:rRNA from 1 species
UACGGAGGGGGCUAGCGUUGUUCGGAAUUACUGGGCGUAAAGGGCGCGUAGGCGGCGCAACAAGUCACUUGUGAAAUCUCCGGGCUUAACCCGGAGCGGUCAAGUGAUACUGUCGUGCUAGAGUGCGGAAGGGGCUACUGGAAUUCUCGGUGUAGCGGUGAAAUGCGUAGAUAUCGAGAGGAACACCUGCGGCGAAGGCGGGUAGCUGGGCCGACACUGACGCUGAUGCGCGAAAGCCAGGGGAGCGAACGGG